rnacentral:hammerhead_ribozyme from 13 species
UUCGAGUCCUAGGGUGAACAUUAAGCCGAUGAGUCCAAAAUAGGACGAAACUCGCA